rnacentral:rRNA from 1 species
AGCAGCCGCGGUAAUUCCAGCUCCAAUAGCGUAUAUUAAAGUUGUUGCAGUUAAAAAGCUCGUAGUUGAAUUUCGGGAUUGACGUGAUGGUCAUGCCUUAAGGGGUAUGAACUGUCACUGUUGAUUUCUCACCUUCUGGAGAAACUUGAUGUCCUUUAUUGGGUGUCUUGCGGAUCCAGGACCUUUACCUUGAAAAAUUAGAGUGUUUAAAGCAGGCAUUUUUGCUCGAAUACAUUAGCAUGGAAUAAUAGAAUAGGACGGCAUGGUUCUAUUUUGUUGGUUUCUAGGAUCACCGUAAUGAUUAAUAGGGAUAGUUGGGGGCAUUAGUAUUCAAUUGUCAGAGGUGAAAUUCUUGGAUUUAUUGAAGACUAACUACUGCGAAAGCAUUUGCCAAGGAUGUUUUCAUUAAUCAAGAACGAAAGUUAGGGGAUCGAAGACGAUCAGAUACCGUCGUAGUCUUAAACCAUAAACUAUAGCCGACUAGGAAUCAAGACGAUGUUAAUUUUUUAAUGACUCGUUU